UGGUUCGAUUCUGGCUCAGGAUGAACACUGGCGGCAUGCCUAAUACAUGCAAGUCGAACGGAGUGAAGCCUUCGGGUUUCAUUCAGUGGCGAACGGGUGAGUAAUACGCAGGGAACCUGGCCAUGGCAGGGGGAUACACUCUGGAAACGGAGCAUAAGACCCCAUAGGCAGUAAGGCGGCAUCGCCUUACUGUUAAAGAAAGCUGAAAGGCUUUGGCGAUGGAUGGACCUGCGGUGCAUUAGCUUGUUGGUGAGGCAACGGCUUACCAAGGCGAUGAUGCAUAGCCGGCCUGAGAGGGCGGACGGCCACACUGGGACUGAGACACGGCCCAGACUCCUGCGGGAGGCAGCAGUAGGGAAUUUUCGUCAAUGGGCGCAAGCCUGAACGAGCAAUGCCGCGUGAGUGAGGAAGGUCUUCGGACUGUAAAGCUCUGUUGCCGGGGAAAAAGGGGAAAUGCAGGAAAUGGCAUUUCAUGGAUGGUACCCGGCCAGAAAGCCACGGCUAACUACGUGCCAGCAGCCGCGGUAAUACGUAGGUGGCGAGCGUUAUCCGGAAUGAUUGGGCGUAAAGGGUGCGCAGGCGGUCUGUUAAGUCUGAAGGCAAAGGGAUGAGCUCAACUCAUUUAUGAUUCAGAAACUGGCAGACUUGAGGACAGGAGAGGGCGGUGGAACUCCAUGUGUAGCGGUAAAAUGCGCAGAGAUAUGGAAGAACACCAGUGGCGAAGGCGGCCGCCUGGCCUGUGACUGACGCUGAGGCACGAAAGCGUGGGGAGCAAAUAGGAUUAGAUACCCUAGUAGUCCACGCCGUAAACGAUGAGGAGCAGGUGUUGGGAGUGAAAUCUCAGUGCCGAAGCCAACGCAGUGACUCCUCCGCCUGGGGAGUAUGCACGCAAGUGUGAAACUCAAAGGAAUUGACGGGGGCCCGCACAAGCGGUGGAGUAUGUGGUUUAAUUCGAAGCAACGCGAAGAACCUUACCAGGUUUUGACAUCGGAUGCGAAGGCGCAGAGAUGCGCUGGAGGCUAUCAUCCAGACAGGUGGUGCAUGGUUGUCGUCAGCUCGUGUCGUGAGAUGUUCAGUUAAGUCUGGCAACGAGCGCAACCCCCGUGGUAUGUUACUAACGCAUUUGGGCGAGGACUCAUAUCAGACUGCCGGUGACAAACCGGAGGAAGGCGGGGAUGACGUCAAAUCAUCAUGCCCCUUAUGACCUGGGCUACACACGUACUACAAUGGCGUCUACAGAGGGAAGCGACCCUGAGAAGGGAAGCGAAACCGGAAAAGGGCGUCCCAGUUCGGAUUGAAGUCUGCAACCCGACUUCAUGAAGAUGGAAUCGCUAGUAAUCGCGGAUCAGCAUGCCGCGGUGAAUACGUUCCCGGGCCUUGUACACACCGCCCGUCAAACCAUGGAAGCCGGCAACGCCCGAAGCCGGUGGCAUAACCUUUUAGGAGUGAGCCGUCGAAGGCGGGGCCGAUGACUGGGGUUAAGUCGUAACAAGGUACCC
rnacentral:rRNA from 1 species